AGUUGUUGCAGUUAAAAAGCUCGUAGUUGGAGUUCAGAGUGAGCUCAGCUGGUCGGCCUCAUGGGUCAGAACUGGUUGACUCUCUCUUGUUUGUGGAUCCCUCCGGAGUUAACUCUUCGGAUGUGGAGUCCACAUCGUUUACCUUGAAAAAAUUAGAGUGUUCAAAGCAGGCGUUUGCUUGAAUAUAUUAGCAUGGAAUAAUGGAAUAGGACGCUGGUUCUAUUUUGUUGGUUUUGAGAACCAGAGUAAUGAUUAAUAGGGACAGUUGGGGGCAUUCAUAUUUCAUUGUCAGAGGUGAAAUUCUUGGAUUUAUGAAAGAUGAACUUCUGCGAAAGCAUUUGCCAAGGAUGUUUUCAUUAAUCAAGAACGAAAGUUAGGGGAUCGAAGACGAUCAGAUACCGUCGUAGUCUUAACCAUAAACUAUGCCGACUAGGGAUUGGGCGUGGUUUGUUCAUUGACCCGCUCAGCACCUUACGAGAAAUCAAAGUCUUUGGGUUCCGGGGGGAGUAUGGUCGCAAGGCUGAAACUUAAAGGAAUUGACGGAGGGGCACCACCAGGAGUGGAGCCUGCGGCUUAAUUUGACUCAACACGGGAAAACUUACCAGGUCCAGACAUAGUAAGGAUUGACAGAUUGAGAGCUCUUUCUUGAUUCUAUGGGUGGUGGUGCAUGGCCGUUCUU
rnacentral:rRNA from 1 species